CCUACGGGGGGCAGCAGUAGGGAAUAUUGCUCAAUGGGGGAAACCCUGAAGCAGCAACGCCGCGUGGAGGAUGAAGGUUUUCGGAUUGUAAACUCCUUUUGUUAGAGAAGAUAAUGACGGUAUCUAACGAAUAAGCACCGGCCAACUCCGUGCCAGCAGCCGCGGUAAUACGGAGGGUGCAAGCGUUAGUCGGAAUCACUGGGGGUAAAGGGGGCGUAGGCGGGAUAGCAAGUCAGAAGUGGAAGCCCAUGGCUUAACCAUAGAACUGCAUUUGAAACUGUUAUUCUAGAGUAUGGGAGAGGUAGGUGGAAUUCUUGGUGUAGCGGUAAAAUCCGUAGAGAUCAAGAGGAAUACUCAUUGCGAAGGCGACUUACUAGAACAUAACUGACGCUGAGGCGCGAAAGCGUGGGGAGCAAACAGGAUUAGAUACCCGGGUAGUC
rnacentral:rRNA from 1 species